CCUACGGGUGGCAGCAGUCGAGAAUCAUUCACAAUGGGGGAAACCCUGAUGGUGCGACGCCGCGUGGGGGAAUGAAGGUCUUCGGAUUGUAAACCCCUGUUAUGUGGGAGCAAAUUAAAAAGAUAGUACCACAAGAGGAAUAGACGGCUAACUCUGUGCCAGCAGCCGCGGUAAUACAGAGGUCUCAAGCGUUGGUCGGAAUCACUGGGCGUAAAGGGUGCGUAGGCUGUUUCGUAAGUCGUGUGUGAAAGGCGCGGGCUCAACCCGCGGACGGCACAUGAUACUGCGAGACUAGAGUAAAGGAGGGGGAACCGGAAUGCUCGGUGUAGCGGUGAAAUGCGUAGAUAUCG
rnacentral:rRNA from 1 species